rnacentral:rRNA from 1 species
GGGGAUGACGUCAAGUCAUCAUGCCCUUACGAGUAGGGCUACACACGUGCUACAAUGGCAGAUACAAAGAGAAGCGACCUCGCGAGAGCAAGCGGAACUCAUAAAGUCUGUCGUAGUCCGGAUUGGAGUCUGCAACUCGACUCCAUGAAGUCGGAAUCGCUAGUAAUCGUAGAUCAGAAUGCUACGGUGAAUACGUUCCCGGGCCUUUGUACACACCGCCCGUCACACCAUGGGAGUGGGUUGCAAAAGAAGUAGGUAGCUUAACCUUCGGGAGGGCGCUUACCACUUUUGUGAUUCAUGACUGGGGUGAAGUCGUAACAAGGUAACCGUAGGGGAACCUGCGGUUGGAUCACCUCCUUACCUAAGAGA